AGUGAACGCUGGCGGUAGGCCUAACACAUGCAAGUCGAACGGCAGCACAGUAAGAGCUUGCUCUUACGGGUGGCGAGUGGCGGACGGGGGAGGAAUACAUCGGAAUCUACUUUUUCGUGGGGGCUAACGUAGGGAAACUUACGCUAAUACCGCAUACGACCUACGGGUGAAAGCAUGGGAUCUUCGGACCUUGCGCGAUUGAAUGAGCCGAUGUCGGAUUAGCUAGUUGGCGGGGUAAAGGCCCACCAAGGCGACGAUCCGUAGCUGGUCUGAGAGGAUGAUCAGCCACACUGGAACUGAGACGCGGUCCAGACUCCUACGGGAGGCAGCAGUGGGGAAUAUUGGACAAUGGGCGAAAGCCUGAUCCAGCCAUACCGCGUGGGUGAAGAAGGCCUUCGGGUUGUAAAGCACUUUUGUUGGGAAAGAAAAGCAGUAGGUUAAUACCCCGCUGUUCUGACGGUACCCAAAGAAUAAGCACCGGCUAACUUCGUG
rnacentral:rRNA from 1 species